rnacentral:rRNA from 1 species
ACGCGUGAGUGAAGAAGGUUUUCGGAUCGUAAAACUCUGUUGUUAGGGAAGAACAAGUGCGUCGAAUAGGGCGGCGCCUUGACGGUACCUAACCAGAAAGCCACGGCUAACUACGUGCCAGCAGCCGCGGUAAUACGUAGGUGGCAAGCGUUGUCCGGAAUUAUUGGGCGUAAAGCGCGCGCAGGUGGUUUCUUAAGUCUGAUGUGAAAGCCCACGGCUCAACCGUGGAGGGUCAUUGGAAACUGGGGAACUUGAGUGCAGAAGAGGAAAGUGGAAUUCCAAGUGUAGCGGUGAAAUGCGUAGAUAUUUGGAGGAACACCAGUGGCGAAGGCGACUUUCUGGUCUGUAACUGACACUGAGGCGCGAAAGCGUGGGGAGCAAACAGGAUUAGAUACCCUGGUAGUCCACGCCGUAAACGAUGAGUGCUAGGUGUCAGGGGGUUUCCGCCCCUUAGUGCUGAAGUUAACGCAUUAAGCACUCCGCCUGAGGAGUACGGCCGCAAGGCUGAAACUCACAAGAAUUGACGGGGGCCCCGCACAAGCGGUGGAGCCAUGUGGUUU